GUGGAUUAGAUACCCGGGUAGUCCAUGCCGUAAACGAUGAGUGCUAGGUGUUGGAGGGUUUCCGCCCUUCAGUGCCGGAGCUAACGCAUUAAGCACUCCGCCUGGGGAGUACGACCGCAAGGUUGAAACUCAAAGGAAUUGACGGGGGCCCGCACAAGCGGUGGAGCAUGUGGUUUAAUUCGAAGCUACGCGAAGAACCUUACCAGGUCUUGACAUCUUGCGCUAACCUUAGAGAUAAGGCGUUCCCUUCGGGGACGCAAUGACAGGUGGUGCAUGGUCGUCGACAACU
rnacentral:rRNA from 1 species